rnacentral:rRNA from 1 species
GAUGAACGCUGGCGGCGUGCCUAACACAUGCAAGUUGAGCGAGAAAUCACUUAAAGAAGCUUCGGUAGACUUAAGAGAUGGAGAGCAGCGGACGGGUGAGUAACGCGUGGGAAACCUGCCCUUGACAGGAGGAUAGCCGAGAGAAAUUUCGAUUAAUACUUCAUAAAGCAGAGCAUUCGCAUGGAUGAACUGCCAAAGAAUUAUCGGUCAAGGAUGGUCCCGCGUCUGAUUAGCUGGUUGGUAAGGUAGCGGCUUACCAAGGCGACGAUCAGUAGCCGGCCUGGGAGGGUGAACGGCCACAUUGGAACUGAGACACGGUCCAGACUCCUACGGGAGGCAGCAGUGGGGAAUAUUGCACAAUGGGCGAAAGCCUGAUGCAGCAACGCCGCGUGAAGGAAGAAGGCUUUCGAGUCGUAAACUUCUGUCCAAAGGGAAGAAGAAUGACGGUACCUUUGAAGAAAGCCCCGGCUAACUACGUGCCAGCAGCCGCGGUAAUACGUAGGGGGCGAGCGUUAUCCGGAAUUACUGGGCGUAAAGAGUAUGUAGGUGGUUAAGUAAGCGUAGGGUUUAAGGCGACAGCCCAACUGUCGUAUGCCCCGCGAACUGUUUAACUUGAGUACAGGAGGGGAAGGCGGAAUUCCUAGUGUAGCGGUGAAAUGCGUAGAUAUUAGGAGGAACACCAGUGGCGAAGGCGGCCUUCUGGACUGUAACUGACACUGAGAUACGAAAGCGUGGGUAGCAAACAGGAUUAGAUACCCUGGUAGUCCAAGGGCGAAAUCCACAGUGGAUAUCAAGCUUAUCGAUACCGUCGACCUCGAGGGGGGGCCCGGUACCCAGCUUUUGUUCCCUUUAGUAGGGGUUA